UGAGGAAUUUUCCGCAAUGGGCGAAAGCCUGACGGAGCAAUGCCGCGUGGAGGAUGACAGCCUGUGGGUCGUAAACUCCUUUUCUCAGAGAAGAAGUUCUGACGGUAUCUGAGGAA
rnacentral:rRNA from 1 species